GUUUGUUCUGAAAUAGAGAAGAGAUAAAGUUGAAAUAAGGAUCAUGUCAUAAUACCCACCCACACACCUGUGGGCAGACAGUAUGUGACACUAUUACAUGAGAUAACAUAAUACCUCAUGACAGUCUUGCAAGACAUGACUAGAUGUUACACGUCUGAGUCUGCACCAGCAUUUCACAGCUCUUAAUGAAGACAACUGCACUUUAAAAUGGCAUUUGUGUCUAAUUACAGAAUCUUUUCUUGCUACCUAAAUGUAAACACAGAAGUUAUGUGAAUCUCGAGUUAUUUCAGUUUGAAACAUCCUGCUUUUUGUCAGAUAAAGAUAGACAGAUGAGGUCUUUUGACUUAGAAUUACAAGUUGAAAUAAUCUACAGCUGAAAUCAAUUCAUUAAAUCAAGUUUAAAAGAAACACGACUAUAGACCCAGCAGAUUUCCCACCAUGCAGACACUUUGUAGCUGUCUCACAAUGAAAGAUGUGUGAAAUCCUGUUUCUUUCUUUGCCUAAUAAUGUCAGCAGUAAAAACCAUGAGGUCAAAGUCACUUGAUACUCACUGUGCACCCUUUUUAAAACAAAGAAACAGGAAGCUGCCAUAUCUUGUCUCAAAUCUAAACUGAUUUCAACACUUGAAGGUGAUAGUAUUUCAUGUCAGAUAAAGAAUUGAGUAUUUAAAUGAGAAAAUGUAGAAGGAAAGCGAGUUGCAGCUGAUUCAAUGAUACAUCUUAAGCUGGCUGAACUUGCUCAGCUAAUUUUACAUGUCAGGUUCACUUAACUCACAUUUUUAAGGCUGUGGGGGAAUUUGAAGUGUUUUAAAACUGCUGUAGUUGUCACAGAACUUUUUUUUUUACAUUUUUGUUACAAUAAAUGUGUGUUUUGAAUGAUCUGUUUUUUUGCUCUGUAUUUUCACUUCUUGUUUGUGCUUCCUACACAGAGAUAAAUGAAAAACAAGUUUCUUCACAGCUUCCUCUUGCAGGCUUGCAAGCAUCCUAUCUCGUCACUCAUAUGCAAUGAGUAAUGCAAGUUGGACUCUGCAACGGGUACAUGGAGUUUGUUCAUUGGUGGCGGAGUCAAACCAACUCCCUAAUUAAGAUGUCUUCUGGCUUUGCAACAAACUGUUUGCCUGAUGAAGGUCUAGCAUUGAAACACUGCACCAAUAAAUGCAUUUUUGCAGGUUA